UACGAGGGGGGCGAGCGUUGUUCGGAAUUAUUGGGCGUAAAGGGUGCGUAGGCGGUUUGGUAAGUCUGAUGUGAAAUCUAUGGGCUCAACUCAUAGUCUGCAUCGGAAACUGCCGGGCUUGAGUAUGGGAGAGGGAUGCGGAAUUCCAGGUGUAGCGGUGAAAUGCGUAGAUAUCUGGAGGAACACCGGUGGCGAAGGCGGCAUCCUGGACCGAUACUGACGCUGAGGAGCGAAAGCCAGGGGAGCAAACGGG
rnacentral:rRNA from 1 species